GGAUAACCUACCCUUAGGACCGGGAUAACCUUGGGAAACUGAGGAUAAUACUGGAUAGGCAAUUAUUCCUGUAAUGGUUUUUUGUUUAAAUGUUUUUUCGCCUAAGGAUGGGUCUGCGGCCGAUUAGGUAGUUGGUUAGGUAAUGGCUUACCAAGCCUUUGAUCGGUACGGGUUGUGAGAGCAAGAGCCCGGAGAUGGAACCUGAGACAAGGUUCCAGGCCCUACGGGGUGCAGCAGGCGCGAAACCUCCGCAAUGUGAGAAAUCGCGACGGGGGGAUCCCAAGUGCCAUUCUUAACGGGAUGGCUUUUCAUUAGUGUAAAGAGCUUUUGGAAUAAGAGCUGGGCAAGACCGGUGCCAGCCGCCGCGGUAACACCGGCAGCUCUAGUGGUAGCAGUUUUUAUUGGGCCUAAAGCGUCCGUAGCCGGUUUAAUAAGUCUCUGGUGAAAUCCUGCAGCUUAACUGUGGGAAUUGCUGGAGAUACUAUUAGACUUGAGAUCGGGAGAGGUUAGAGGUACUCCCAGGGUAGAGGUGAAAUUCUGUAAUCCUGGGAGGACCGCCUGUUGCGAAGGCGUCUGACUGGAACGAUUCUGACGGUGAGGGACGAAAGCUAGGGGCGCGAACCGGAUUAGAUACCCGGGUAGUCCUAGCUGUAAACGAUGCGGACUUGGUGUUGGGGUGGCUUUGAGCUGUCCCAGUGCCGAAGGGAAGCUGUUAAGUCCGCCGCCUGGGAAGUACGGUCGCAAGACUGAAACUUAA
rnacentral:rRNA from 1 species